rnacentral:tRNA from 1 species
GUCCGGGUGGCGGAAUUGGCAGACGCGCUAGCUUGAGGUGCUAGUCCCCUCACGGGGAUGGGGGUUCAAGUCCCCCCUCGGACACGA